CAUAUCUGAAUCGAGAAAAGCAGACAUGAUUGAAGCGCAUUUAUCUCCACUAAUUAAGAGCUUAUGCCAGGCUGAGCUGAGAUUUUAACACCAGAUGAGCCUCCAUUUCAUCCCCCUACACCUGGAGAAGCUCCUGUGGGAGGAAGACUCAUGGAGACACUUUAAACUGGAAGCAAGAGACCCCAGGGAAGAAUGUUCUUAGGCAGAGGGAACAUAACAUGCUAACAUGCUAUGAGGGGGUAAGUUUGGCUCGCAGGUGUGAAACAGGUAAGUGACA
rnacentral:lncRNA from 1 species